CCUACGGGAGGCAGCAGUGGGGAAUAUUGGACAAUGGGCGAAAGCCUGAUCCAGCCAUGCCGCGUGUGUGAAGAAGGCCUUCGGGUUGUAAAGCACUUUCAGUGGGGAAGAAAGCCUUGGGGCUAAUACCCUCGAGGAAGGACAUCACCCACAGAAGAAGCACCGGCUAACUCCGUGCCAGCAGCCGCGGUAAUACGGAGGGUGCGAGCGUUAAUCGGAAUUACUGGGCGUAAAGCGCGCGUAGGCGGUCUGAUAAGCCGGUUGUGAAAGCCCCGGGCUCAACCUGGGAACGGCAUCCGGAACUGUCAGGCUAGAGUGCAGGAGAGGAAGGUAGAAUUCCCGGUGUAGCGGUGAAAUGCGUAGAGAUCGGGAGGAAUACUAGUGGCGAAGGCGGCCUUCUGGACUGACACUGACGCUGAGGUGCGAAAGCGUGGGUAGCAAACAGGAUUAGAUACCCCUGUAGUC
rnacentral:rRNA from 1 species